rnacentral:rRNA from 1 species
GACGAACGCUGGCGGCGUGCUUAACACAUGCAAGUCGAACGGUGAAGCGCCUUCCUUUUUGGUGGGUGUGGAUGAGUGGCGAACGGGUGAGUAACACGUGAGUAACCUGCCCCCUUCUUCUGGAUAACCGCAUGAAAGUGUGGCUAAUACGGGAUAUUCUGGGUCUGUCGCAUGAUGGGUCUGGGAAAGAUAUUGUUUCGGUGGGGGAUGGGCUCGCGGCCUAUCAGCUUGUUGGUGGGGUGAUGGCCUACCAAGGCGGUGACGGGUAGCCGGCCUGAGAGGGUGGACGGUCACACUGGGACUGAGACACGGCCCAGACUACUACGGGAGGCAGCAGUGGGGAAUAUUGCACAAUGGGCGCCAGCCUGAUGCAGCGACGCCGCGUGAGGGAUGGAGGCCUUCGGGUUGUGAACCUCUUUCGCCAGUGAAGCAGGCCUGCCUCGUUUGUGGGUGGGUUGACGGUAGCUGGAUAAGAAGCGCCGGCUAACUACGUG